rnacentral:rRNA from 1 species
UUUGGGCACUGUCUCAACGAGAGACUCGGUGAAAUCAUAGUACCUGUGAAGAUGCAGGUUACCCGCGACAGGACGGAAAGACCCCGUGGAGCUUUACUGUAGCCUGAUAUUGAAAUUCGGCACAGCUUGUACAGGAUAGGUAGGAGCCUUUGAAACGUGAGCGCUAGCUUACGUGGAGGCGCUGGUGGGAUACUACCCUAGCUGUGUUGGCUUUCUAACCCGCACCACUUAUCGUGGUGGGAGACAGUGUCAGGCGGGCAGUUUGACUGGGGCGGUCGCCUCCUAAAAGGUAACGGAGGCGCUCAAAGGUUCCCUCAGAAUGGUUGGAAAUCAUUCAUAGAGUGUAAAGGCAUAAGGGAGCUUGACUGCGAGACCUACAAGUCGAGCAGGGUCGAAAGACGGACUUAGUGAUCCGGUGGUUCCGCAUGGAAGGGCCAUCGCUCAACGGAUAAAAGCUACCCCGGGGAUAACAGGCUUAUCUCCCCCAAGAGUUCACAUCGACGGGGAGGUUUGGCACCUCGAUGUCGGCUCAUCGCAUCCUGGGGCUGUAGUCGGUCCCAAGGGUUGGGCUGUUCGCCCAUUAAAGCGGUACGCGAGCUGGGUUCAGAACGUCGUGAGACAGUUCGGUCCCUAUCCGUCGUGGGCGUAGGAAAUUUGAGAGGAGCUGUCCUUAGUACGAGAGGACCGGGAUGGACAUACCUCUGGUGUACCAGUUGUCGUGCCAACGGCAUAGCUGGGUAGCUAUGUGUGGACGGGAUAAGUGCUGAAAGCAUCUAAGCAUGAAGCCCCCCUCAAGAUGAGAUUUCCCAACUUCGGUUAUAAGAUCCCUCAAAGAUGAUGAGGUUAAUAGGUUCGAGGUGGAAGCAUGGUGACAUGUGGAGCUGACGAAUACUAAUCGAUCGAAGACU